GAUGAAGAACGUAGCGAAAUGCGAUAAGUAAUGUGAAUUGCAGAAUUCAGUGAAUCAUCGAAUCUUUGAACGCACAUUGCGCCCGCCAGUAUUCUGGCGGGCAUGCCUGUUCGAGCGUCAUUUCAACCAUCAAGCCCUGCUUGCGUUGGGGUCCUGCGGCUGCCCGCAGGCCCUGAAAACCAGUGGCGGGCUCGCUAGUCACACCGAGCGCAGUAAUACAUCUCGCUUUGGGCGUGCGGCGGGUUCGUGCCGUUAAACACCCCCUUUUUACCAAGGUUGACCUCGGAUCAGGUAGGAAUACCCGCUGAACUUAAGCAUAUCAAUAAGCGGAGGA
rnacentral:misc_RNA from 1 species